GUGAACGCUGGCGGUAGGCCUAACACAUGCAAGUCGAACGGCAGCACAGUAAGAGCUUGCUCUUACGGGUGGCGAGUGGCGGACGGGUGAGGAAUACAUCGGAAUCUACUUUUUCGUGGGGGAUAACGUAGGGAAACUUACGCUAAUACCGCAUACGACCUACGGGUGAAAGCAGGGGAUCUUCGGACCUUGCGCGAUUGAAUGAGCCGAUGUCGGAUUAGCUAGUUGGCGGGGUAAAGGCCCACCAAGGCGACGAUCCGUAGCUGGUCUGAGAGGAUGAACAGCCACACUGGAACUGAGACACGGUCCAGACUCCUACGGGAGGCAGCAGUGGGGAAUAUUGGACAAUGGGCGCAAGCCUGAUCCAGCCAUACCGCGUGGGUGAAGAAGGCCUUCGGGUUGUAAAGCCCUUUUGUUGGGAAAGAAAAGCAGCAGGUUAAUACCCCGCUGUUCUGACGGUACCCAAAGAAUAAGCACCGGCUAACUUCGU
rnacentral:rRNA from 1 species